UCAUAAAGCAAUGGAAACUACCAGGACAAGCCCAGAAGCCUUAAAUUUAACCAAGAUCCAAAAUAAGAAUUAAGGCCAAGCAAGCACCAAUCAAGAGACACAAUGCUAUAAGACAAUCGGGCUGAGAAACAUUAUGAAAAUAGUGUCAUUGGUGAUUGUUGGGGUGACAUUUAUUGCACUGUUAGUGAAACUUAAGUGAAAAUUAAGUAAGAACUCCUUGGGGCUGAAACAGGCUUAUGUGCACUCAACCUGACAGUAUAACUAGCAUAGUAUUUUUUCCAAGCACAUUUAACACAUACAUGUAGUAAAAUAUGAAAGAUGAAAAUGGUCAUACAAGUUUGUUGUGUUUGGGGUCUUUCAAUAAAAGAUCUGAUGUUUCCCUCCCAGGUGGUAGUUAUCUGUAGAUCUGUUAAGUUAUACCUGCUGUAAUGUCCAUAAAACAAGAGAGCCGCGGAACAAACACCAACAUUUCUCUCUUGAUUUACAUUCCCCAAAGGGGCACAACUCAUCAAGCAUUAAAGCCAGAAAAAUGGGCCUUGCUGAACAUAUCCACCAAGUUUCAUUUAAAUACAUCAACAUUUUUUUUCUUGUUAUUACCAUGGUAAAGUUUAUGCACAAAGACGGCACUGUUGAAGCCUUUAAAACUGACAGUACCUUUCUAUUUUUCUUUGAAAAACAGACAAUUAAAUCAAUUGUGUGUCAUUUAUAACAUUGAACAGAACAUGUGCAAAAAUUUCUUUAGGAAAAUCAAUGUCCUACAUGACUUAUAAAUUUCAAGAUUUUAUUAGUUGCAUUCCAUUUAGUUAACGUCCAUGAUGUAUUGAUAAAGACUUGUUUCAAACUUUAGUCCGAAGAAGCAGACAGGCAAUCCCAGGAAUACCAGUCCAUUCUGUUCCGCUCUUCAGCAGUAAAGACGAUAGCGACAUGUAAAAGUAACCAGACUUAGAGGAAGAUACUUGGUAGCUGAUCGCAGACUCAACAAGAAGGCUCCUGUUCUGGCUUUGAGCAAGAGUUGAAAAUCAAGGAGCUGUGAUGUACAAUAGAGGUACGCUCAAACGUGGAGGAAAUGUUCAACCCUGACCGGACCCAGUUGCCAAUAAUCUUUAUACUGCGAUUGGUUAGGAAGUCUUAUUCAGGCCAAAUGCUGCACUGGCCAAGAGCUUGGUCACAAGGAAGGAUACAGGAAGACAGUUGUGUUGAUGAACAGCAGCUAGGCAGGAACAGUACUCUGUAUGGGGGAGAAGACAAUAAAUGAUCACACUGUCAGUCAGCACCAGCUGAAGCUGAUUGUUUGCAUUUCUAUCAUGCAGGCACUAUGUGAAUGAGACAUAAUUUACAGUUUAAUUGUUCAUUUGUUCUGCCAUAAAUUAUAAUAAUUAGAUGUUGUUAAUUUUCUAUUAAGUUUAUAUUCCUGUUCAUUUGUUUUAUUAUUCCCCGCCAAACGGAAGGUUUCAGGAGAGGGGGUUUUGUUUUGGCGUUGUCUGUCCGUCAGUCAUUCUGUUCGUUCAUCCGUCCCUCCCUAACCAUAACUUGGUAGGCAUUGACUAGAAAUGUUAAAAAUUGGUCAGAAUGUUCCCCUUGAUCAUAUCUCGACCACAUGUAAGUGGGGUCAAAAACUAGGUCAAAUCUUAUAAAAUCUUUUGAACAAACUAAAGGCAUUAUACAUGGUCAAACCUUAAUCAAAAUGUUUUCCCUGAUGAACUCUUGGACAUAUAUAAAACUGGUCACAUAUGAUCGAAAAUUAGGUCAUUAGGAAAAUCUUAGAAAAAUCUUGUCAUGGUAUUUGAUUGGUCAGAUUUUGUUUAAACUUGGUCAGGAUGUACCCUUGAUGAAAUAUGGACUGCUUGUAAAAGUGGGUCACUAGGUCAAAUCUUUGGAACAAACUAGAGGCAUUAAACAAGGUCAAAUAUUCAUGAAACCUAAUCAAAAUGUUUCCUUGUUAUUUCAGGAAUAAGCCAAUCAAUUAUGCAUUCAUGCUUUUAAUUUUUUAAUAAUUUGUCCCCUCCUCCCUCACUGAGAGGAAAGGUGGAUUAUAUUAAUGGUAGGUGUUUGUUUGUGCGUCAGAGCAAUCUUGUCCAUGGCAUAACAAGGACUUUGAGGUGUUGUCUUCAAACUUCAUAUACAGAAUGAUCUUAUUGCGAGUGCACAGGAAUCAUAACUCUUGCUGCAGUUUUAUUUUAGUUAUUUUCCUUUAUUUAUUUUCAUACUUAUUUUUUGUCUGGAGUCUAACUUAAAAAGACUUUAAAGUAUUGACUUUAAACUUCAUAUACUGAUAGAUCUCAUUUAGGAGAAGUGCAGUGAAUAUGAACCAUAACUCUGGCUGUCAUAUCUUUUUGUCAUUGCCCUUUGAAAAAUUUCAUUGUUUUCCUUUGUUCUAAGGGGAAGUUGUUACUGUUAAGAUAAAAUACGAUUUAUUUUGAUUAGGCAAGAUAGCAAAAAGUACAACAAAAGCACUCUGAGAUUUUUACUGAGUAUUUUUAACAUAACAGUAUAGGGUUUUACAAUUGUAUAAGAGCUGCAGUGGCAAAAUUAGUGAUGAUUACAAUAAUAAUUACAUUUUACAAUUAACAUAAUUAUAUGACAAUUUUAUAAUAUGAAUUGAUUCUAAUAAGAACAGUUUGAAAAACAGUGUAGUAUCAUUGUUAUUAAAAAUAUAUAAGAGAAGCAUGAAUGAUAGGUGCCAAGCUUAGAUGUCCAUUUAAAGCUGUAAAAGCAAUUAAUGCAAAAAUUGUUUGGACUAUUAAAGCCAAUUACCCACAAGGUAUAAUGAUGUUCCAUGAUGUUGUAUCACACAUGGAUGGCAGCUAUCACAGAAACUUAGUUACCAUAUCAUACAGUAUGAUGUAUUAUGACAGUCUGUGACUGCUCUUGUUAGCUUUAAAGUCAUCGAUCUAUUUUUGUUGUUGUUUUCUUUCUUUUAUUUAUUGAUGAUUUGUUAGAUUGUCAA